rnacentral:rRNA from 1 species
UACGAAGGGGGCUAGCGUUGUUCGGAAUUACUGGGCGUAAAGCGCACGUAGGCGGCACUGUUAGUUAGGGGUGAAAUCCCGGAGCUCAACCCCGGAACUGCCUUCAAGACUGCAGAGCUGGAGGAUGCGAGAGGUGAGUGGAAUUCCGAGUGUAGAGGUGAAAUUCGUAGAUAUUCGGAAGAACACCAGUGGCGAAGGCGGCUCACUGGCGCAUUUCUGACGCUGAGGUGCGAAAGCGUGGGGAGCAAACAGG